rnacentral:lncRNA from 1 species
CCCAAAUAAACUAGGAAUCAUACACUACUACUUUAGUUCAGUAGUCGAUCACCAAAUCAGAAUAAAACUGCUCCGAAAACAGGAUAGGAACUUAUAAUCACUGAAUUUAAAAGUUUAUACCUUCUGUUGUUGAUGUUGCAACCUCAACCCACCACACUUUCUUUCCUGUACACCUCCUGCCAUCCUUCCUUUUAUACUCUAAAACCCCAGCUGCCCUGUUUCUCGAAUACUCAAGGCUGAGCCCUCAAAAUAUCACCAUAGCCGUCCAACUGUCCCCCAACAUCUAUGUUUUCAUCCCCAAGUUCCUAAGCUAUACACACGCAACUCUCAUUGACUAACUAAUCAAUUCAGUCAUCACUUCACUCCUCCCAGCCUUGCUAUCACAACUCUGUUGUGACACCAACCGAACCACCUGCUGCAGCACACGGCCACAACCAGGCCACCACCUCGUCUGGCCAUAACCGAGACGCCUGGACCGCAGCCCACCGCCGCGUCAACCACAGGGCAUCUCCUGUAAUCAUUCUUGUCCAGCAACCCAAUAAAUCAGCCCCGUGUCAUAAACACCUACCAUGAAAUCAAUUUACAACCACGAAAUAACACCCACCUAAACACACCUACUGAUCACCACCCCUCAACCUCUGUCUCUCCUCUAGCCAGCCCUGUUCAAACCAACACAAUCGCCUCCAUCCUUCUUCCUCCCUCCCCACACGACGCCGCCGAUUUCUCCCGUGUCCACCGCCGACUCGCGGCCUCCGUUCAUACACCACCCACCAUCCACACCGAUCCAAUUGAUUUCCCCAAAUUCAGAAACCCUAAUCCCUCUUUAUUUCGCUUGAUCGAAGUCACCGCCUCUGUUUAUCUGUUCGUGUUUAUCUAUA